AUGCACGCUGGCGGCGUGCCUCAUACCUGCAAGUCGAGCGAACAGACGAGGAGCUUGCUCCUCUGACGUUAGCGGCGGACGGGUGAGUAACACGUGGAUAACCUACCUAUAAGACUGGGAUAACUUCGGGAAACCGGAGCUAAUACCGGAUAAUAUAUUGAACCGCAUGGUUCAAUAGUGAAAGACGGUUUUGCUGUCACUUAUAGAUGGAUCCGCGCCGCAUUAGCUAGUUGGUAAGGUAACGGCUUACCAAGGCAACGAUGCGUAGCCGACCUGAGAGGGUGAUCGGCCACACUGGAACUGAGACACGGUCCAGACUCCUACGGGAGGCAGCAGUAGGGAAUCUUCCGCAAUGGGCGAAAGCCUGACGGAGCAACGCCGCGUGAGUGAUGAAGGUCUUCGGAUCGUAAAACUCUGUUAUUAGGGAAGAACAAAUGUGUAAGUAACUAUGCACGUCUUGACGGUACCUAAUCAGAAAGCCACGGCUAACUACGUG
rnacentral:rRNA from 1 species